rnacentral:rRNA from 1 species
UACGUAGGGUGCAGGCGUUAAUCGGAAUUACUGGGCGUAAAGCGUGCGCAGGCGGUUUGUUAAGACAGAUGUGAAAUCCCCGGGCUUAACCUGGGAACUGCGUUUGUAACUGGCAAGCUAGAGUGUGGCAGAGGGGGGUGGAAUUCCAAGUGUAGCAGUGAAAUGCGUAGAUAUUUGGAGGAACACCAAUGGCGAAGGCAGCCCCCUGGGUUAACACUGACGCUCAUGCACGAAAGCGUGGGGAGCAAGCAGG